rnacentral:rRNA from 1 species
UACGUAGGCAGCGAGCGUUGUUCGGAGUUACUGGGCGUAAAGGGUGUGUAGGCGGUUGUUUAAGUUUGGUGUGAAAUCUCCCGGCUCAACUGGGAGGGUGCGCCGAAUACUGAAUGACUUCGAGUGCGGGAGAGGAGAGUGGAAUUCCUGGUGUAGCGGUGAAAUGCGUAGAUAUCGGGAGGAACACCAGUGGCGAAGGCGACUUCCUGGCCUGUUCUUGACGCUGAGGCGCGAAAGCUAGGGUAGCAAACGGG